AGUCGAGCGAUGAAGCUGGAGCUUGCUCCGGCCGAUUAGUGGCGAACGGGUGAGUAACACGUGAGCAAUCUGCCCUUGACUCUGGGAUAACUGCGGGAAACUGUAGCUAAUACCGGAUACUUUCCUCGCUGGGCAUCCAGCGGGGAAGAAAGAAUUUCGGUCAAGGAUGAGCUCGCGGCCUAUCAGCUAGUUGGUGAGGUAAUUGCUCACCAAGGCGACGACGGGUAGCCGGCCUGAGAGGGUGACCGGCCACACUGGAACUGAGACACGGUCCAGACUCCUACGGGAGGCAGCAGUGGGGAAUAUUGCACAAUGGGCGAAAGCCUGAUGCAGCAACGCCGCGUGAGGGAUGAAGGCCUUCGGGUUGUAAACCUCUUUUAGCAGGGAAGAAGCGAAAGUGACGGUACCUGCAGAAAAAGCACCGGCUAACUACGUGCCAGCAGCCGCGGUAAUACGUAGGGUGCAAGCGUUGUCCGGAAUUAUUGGGCGUAAAGAGCUCGUAGGCGGUUUGUCACGUCUGCUGUGAAAAUCCGAGGCUCAACCUCGGACUUGCAGUGGGUACGGGCAGGCUAGAGUGCGGUAGGGGAGAAGGGAAUUCCUGGUGUAGCGGUGGAAUGCGCAGAUAUCAGGAGGAACACCAAUGGCGAAGGCACUUCUCUGGGCCGUAACUGACGCUGAGGAGCGAAAGCGUGGGGAGCGAACAGGAUUAGAUACCCUGGUAGUCCACGCCGUAAACGGUGGGUGCUAGCUGUGGGCCACAUUCCACGUGGUCCGUGACGAAGUUAACACA
rnacentral:rRNA from 1 species